CAAUGGUUAAUCGUUACGUACAGAUUAAAUUUCCCCUCUACUACCUUCCCAGCAUCUGCAACCGUCCCCAUUAUUCUAGGACAGCUUUUUUAAAGUUUGCCGUUCACCAAAGAUUUGAUUGUGUGAACCGGGCUUAGACCUUAAGGUGUUAUAAAUUAUUUUGGCAGGAAUGCGAGUACAGGCAUGGCCAUAAAAUCGUAGUUGUACAUAGUAUACUACUACUUUCCCCCUACCCAAGUUUAAAGU